UACGUAGGGGGCAAGCGUUGUCCGGAUUUAUUAGGCGUAAAGAGCGUGUAGGCGGCCAUACAGGUCAGCUGUGAAAACUCGAGGCUCAACCUCGAGACGUCGGUUGAAACCGUAUGGCUAGAGUCCGGAAGAGGAGAGUGGAAUUCCCGGUGUAGCGGUGAAAUGCGCAGAUAUCGGGAAGAACACCCGUGGCGAAGGCGGCUCUCUGGGACGGUACUGACGCUGAGACGCGAAAGCGUGGGGAGCGAACAGG
rnacentral:rRNA from 1 species